UUUGGUGCAGUGAUUAUAAGAACAUUCCUCGUCCUGAUUGGUCAUCUGCGUGAUGACUUUUAAUCUUUUAUACACCCAUAAAAAUCCGAGCACC
rnacentral:snoRNA from 1 species